UAAAUAGCUUUUCUCCGAGCCGGUCGAACCUACGGGCGAAAAACGGCCUAUGGUAGCCGGCCUGGGUUCCUAAAGAACCCACGGGGUAUGCCGGGAAACGGGCAUGCCUCCCUACGCUCGGAAAGGAGAAAGGCCUUGCCUAGU
rnacentral:ncRNA from 2 species